ACCGGGGGAGACGCCGGGGCGGCGGGGGCGAGCGUGGUGGUGCACGCCGCCCACUCCCCCCCUCCGCCGCAGCUGACCGCCAUGCCUCACCCCGCGUCGCUGGUUCACCAUAUACCCACCAUGGUGCUGUGACGUGAGGGGGUCGACAGACUGCGUCAUGUGACCCAGCUAGCAUGCUAACUAGCCAAACAAUUAGCUUGCUAACGAGCCGAGUCACCAUUAGCCAGCUAACUCAUUAGCCAGCUAACUCAUUAGCCAGCUAACUCAUUAGCCAGCUAGCAUGCUUAAGCAACUUGCUGACUCAUCGCGUGCUAACCGACUGGUUGGCCACAUAACUAGCCGAUUAGCUGACUGCUAGCCAGUUACCAUGCUUACUACUUAGCCAAACAACUUGCUAUCGAACUAUAGCAUGCUAGCUUAAUAACUACACCAUUAGCUGACUCAUUUAUUGUUAGCCAAAUAAACGACUGACUGCUAACCAGCUCGUAUCUUCACUAACUAAACAACUUGCUAACUAGCUUGAUUGAUUAACUCACUGGUUUGGUAAAUUCUAGCAUGCUAGUUUAAUAGCUACAUAACUAGCUGACUGCUAGCUAGCUACCAUGCUUACUACUUAGCCAAACAACUUGACUAGCUAGCAUGCUAGCUUAAUAACUACACAACUAACUGAUUGAUAGCUAGCCUGCUACCUAACUAGCUAAGUAAACUAACUGGUUGGCUGGUUUUAGCUCGCAGCUAGCUCGUCCCUCAGUCUUCGCCACAUUGAUUCAGAGUUUGGUUCCCGUCACCGGCUCCAUGUUUGAUGUUACAGUUGGACUCCGUUUGGGCGACCCAGCUAAUCAUUGACCACGAAGACAAACAGUUACAUCAUCGUACAUGGCAUUUGUACAUUACAUGCAUGCGCACAUUUAUGAUUAUUCCAACACUCAGACGUUCUUUAAAUGUUUCAUAAACAUUGCAUGAUGGGACAGUGUCAUGUCAGUAUAAAUCAUGUGCCUUUGAUGGUGAUGAUGUCGUGCUUUGGUUUGCAUGCUAAUUGAUUGAGGUUGUAACGUGUGUUUAAAACUAGGAGGCGCUACAGUGUGAGCACUGAGGCUCCUUCAGAGGAAUCCACUGAGCUUCUGGUAGUUCAUUCAAUGCUAACAGCUUAGCAUACACAAUGCUAAGUGACAGGAGGCUCCAUGCUAAAGCUCAAAUCUAAGCACCACUCUUUACCACUAGCUUGACAGAGCUAACUGAGCCAGGCCAUGUGUUAGCAAGCUAGCUAGCUUGGCGAGCUAUUCCAACUGAACAACAACUCUAGCCACGAUGUCGCCAAGCUAACGCGACAUAUUUCAGAUAAACUUAGCUGUGACAUUAGCUUACAACGCGCUGGAACUUGCUAAUGCUAACAUAUUAGCAUGGUGCUUGCUCGCGUUAUAGCAUCGGUCGAGCUAAUGUAGCUCAAGCUUACUCGGCUCUAAUGCGACAGAUUUAGCUAACAUUAGCGAACAUUAGCUCAAAUUAUCAACGUUAGCGUCCAUGUUUGAGGAUUAUCAAGUCAUGCUAACUUUGACGUGUACCGUGUUGCGUUAGCUAGCACUUUAGUGUAGCACCUUGUUGUGUGAUAGAGUAGAGCUAACGCUAACGCCAAACAUUUAAGUCCAGGUUAGCUUGAUGAUAGCAAAAGUCAUGUUAGCAUGGUGUUCUGUACUUUGCUCAGCAUUAGCUACAUGCUAACAUGUUAGCAGCGAUCAGUGAAUCUACUGAAAGCUCGUCAGGUUCCUUUAAAGCAGCUCGUUAGGUUCAGGUUCCUUUAAAGCAGCUCGUUAGGUUCAGGUUCCUUUAAAGCAGCUCGUUAGGUUCAGGUUCCUUUAAAGCAGCUCGUUAGGUUCCUUUAAAGCAGCUCGUUAGGUUCCUUUAAAGCAGCUCGUUAGGUUCAGGUUCCUUUAAAGCAGCUCGUUAGGUUCAGGUUCCUUUAAAGCAGCUCGUUAGGUUCCUUUACAGCAGCUCGUCACUUAUUAAAACAUGAUGAAAUGAUGAUUAUUGUUUGUUUGUUGGUUUGGGCUGCGUUCAGGUUCAGAAAAUCUAAUGUUUGUAAAUGUUUGGACACGUUUGAUGUAAAUAAUGUGCAGACUGUGAAUAUAAAC